AGUGAACGCUGGCGGCAGGCCUAACACAUGCAAGUCGAACGGCAGCACAGUAAGAGCUUGCUCUUAUGGGUGGCGAGUGGCGGACGGGUGAGGAAUACAUCGGAAUCUACUCUUUCGUGGGGGAUAACGUAGGGAAACUUACGCUAAUACCGCAUACGACCUACGGGUGAAAGCGGAGGACCUUCGGGCUUCGCGCGAUUGCAUGAGCCGAUGUCGGAUUAGCUAGUAGGCGGGGUAAUGGGCCACCAAGGCGACGAUCCGUAGCUGGUCUGAGAGGAUGAUCAGCCAAAAUGGAACUGAGAAACGGUCCAGACUCCUACGGGAGGCAGCAGUGGGGAAUAUUGGACAAUGGGCGCAAGCCUGAUCCAGCCAUGCCGGGUGGGUGAAGAAGGCCUUCGGGUUGUAAAGCCCUUUUGUUGGGAAAGAAAAGCAGUCGGUUAAUACCCGAUUGUUCUGACGGUACCCAAAGAAUAAGCACCGGCUAACUUCGUGCCAGCCGCCGCAGUAA
rnacentral:rRNA from 1 species